UACGUAGGGCGCAAGCGUUAUCCGGAAUUAUUGGGCGUAAAGAGCUCGUAGGCGGUUUGUCGCGUCUGCCGUGAAAGUCCGGGGCUCAACUCCGGAUCUGCGGUGGGUACGGGCAGACUAGAGUGCGGUAGGGGAGAUUGGAAUUCCUGGUGUAGCGGUGGAAUGCGCAGAUAUCAGGAGGAACACCGAUGGCGAAGGCAGAUCUCUGGGCCGUUACUGACGCUGAGGAGCGAAAGCAUGGGGAGCGAACAGG
rnacentral:rRNA from 1 species